GAAAUCGAAGAGAGAGAGAAAGAGCGAAGAGAGAGAAAGGGUGUAUCGAAGAAGAGAGCGAUCAGAGAGGAAAACAAAGAGAAGGGUCUUCUCAAAUUUCUGAUUCAGAAUCAUUCUGCAAGAAAUUUGAAGAGAGUUAAUUGGGGAAUGCGAAGCAAGAAUUUGAAGCAAUGGUGGGAGAAGCUACAUGAUGGGUCAGAGUUAGUAGUUAAAAAAAGAUUGAAGAAAAUUAAGGCUGGAAGUGUUAUGUGAUUAAAUUUUGUGUUGAAUCUGAAUUUGGGGAGCUUCAAUAAGGUGAAAAUGGUGGGCGGUUUACUUGGAGUUGCAUGGACGUAUCUGGAUUUGGGGGUCUAGUUCAAUAAAGGGGAUGUUUGGAUGGUAAUUGUGAAUUUCGUGGUUGGUGUAAAAGAAUUUGUGAAUUAUCUUGAAUUUGGGGUUUUGGAGGGAGACUCAAUUUUAAUUGGAAGUUUGAGAUCUCGAGCCUCAAAUUACUUUAGUGUUUGAAAUUGAGGUGUUGGAGAUGAGCCAUAGCUUUGACCGUUUUAGGGUUGUUUUUAGAGGGAUUGGAUGUUUGGAAACUGGGUUAUUGGAGAUGUAGCAGCUAAAAACCCUAACUCAUUGAAGGUGCUGUAAGGUUGUGUGCAAGUGUGUGUUUCUGUUAUAUGGAUUUUUAGUAUAGAGAUAGAGAGAUAGAGAGAUAGAGAAAGAGAGAGAUGCAACCACCACAUCACUAUUCGCGGAUCAAUCUUGCUGAAUUGAAAGCUCAGUUAGUGAAGAAACUUGGGCCAGAGGGGUCAAAGCAAUACUUUUAUUUCCUUCAUAUGUUCUUGAGUUUGAAAUUGAGUAAGGUUGAGUUCAAUAAGCUGUGUCUUAGAAUUAUUGGCCGGGAGAAUAUUCCAUUUCACAAUCAGUUGAUUCGAUCGAUACUGAGAAAUGCUUGUAGUGCAAAGACACCACCGCCGGCCAAUCAGAAGGAUGAUGUUUCUAGACAUGGUGUGCACCUUACCGGAAAGGAUAUGUCCACUGACAGUCUCCUGCAAAACGGGUCCCACACCAAUGUAGCUCAGGCUUCUGGUUCACCCUGUUUAUCAAAUGGAGGUGGUGACAUGCUGCUACCUCUCUCGCCUCGAAAGGUCAGGACAAAUAUCCGUGACCGGAAAGCUGGUGACCGUCGUAGUGCACUUGGACCUAAUGGGAAGGCUAGUUUUGCUACUCAGCUUCCUGCUGCUACUCUGUCAAGUGACUUUGGUGCUGUGUUGGAGAAUGGAGAUUUGAAUCCACCUGAUAUGAGAAGUCUACUGAAGCAAUCAGGGAGUGAAAACGAGAUCUUGGCCCCAAAUGCUGCUAAAAUGUCCAUCGUUAGGAGAUCUCUGGAUGUUUCAGCUCCUUCGUGUAGCAAAGAUCAAACUGAGUUAGUUGUCAGUGAUGAUGGGAAAGAGGCUUCGGCUAGGAGUCCACUUCGAGCUCCCCUUGGGGUUCAGUUACGUCCUGUUAGCGUUGGUGGGGCACACAGAGCUCUGCCUCUAUCGAGUAGCAGUAGAUGUCUUGGCUCAUAUAACAAUGGUUCUUUGUUGGACUGUCUAACAUUAAGGGAACGGAUGGAGCAGAUUUCUCUCGUACAGGGUCUUGAAGGGGUUUCAGUGGAUUCUGCCAACAUACUGAGCCAUGGUUUAGAUGCUUACAUGAAAGGAUUGAUUAGAUCGUGCAUCGAGCUUGUAGGGUCAAGAUCGGGGCAUGAGUCAACAAAGAACAAAACCAAUAAGCAUCCCAAUUAUAUGAAGUUGAUAAACGGUGUAAAACCAGGUCAUCAAUUUCUGAUGCAACAUAGUGGAAAGACGAUGGAAGUGCAAGAACAAAGAAGUCAGUCCCCCAUUUCGUUACAGGACUUUAGAGUAGCCAUGGAGCUGAAUCCUCAAAAACUUGGCGAAGACUGGCCGAUGUUGCUGGAGAAGAUAUGUACACAUGCAUUUGAAGAAUAGCGGGGAGCUCACAUUUUUAUGGUUCAUAGUUGAGUAACUGGUCCUACUGGAUCUCAAGGCAUGCUUGCGCUGCCGCUCUUCUGGCCCUGGUGUGGAUUUAGUAGCUCAAAUUCAUGAUGGGCCCAGGGCAAAAGCAGGAGUAUCUAUUCCAUUCUGCUUCUGGCUUUUCUUCAAUCCAAAAAACCUAUUAUUAGCGACCACUGUGAUGAGCUGAAUGCACGAAUCUAAGACCAGUCUCUCUAGGUAUUUUGCAGGUUGCUUUGCCUCUUGAAAUCUCUGAUGGAUUACUCCAAGAACAAAGAUAUUGGUCAGGGAGCAUUUUAUUAUAAUACUGAUCAGGGCUGGUGCUAGCAUUCAUGUGCAUGGGCCUCUACGAAUAACACAGGUCCGUGGUGGCCGGUGUUUUAUGAUGUUUAUUUUAUCAUAUUGUGCAUUUGACACAGGCGUGGAGGCAUUUUCGUACCAUGGCAACACUCUCCUGAUUUAUCAGAACAAGUAUUAAUAAUGCAGCAGUUUUUUAUGAGGUUUGGCCAAUAAAGAAAAGUUAUUUUCAAUCCUUACAGUUGCCUCCAACUAAAUCGUAGAUACUAAUUUUUUUUUGUCAAACCUGAAUCUAAAUUCUCCUAAUUUUUUAUGUAGUGGAGUAUCUAAAUAAUAAGAACUGAGGUCCUUCAGAAAAGAUUCUUAAUCACUAUUUUUUCUUGGCAUUAUCUGUUAAGUGCACGUUUGUUAGAUUUUGAUUUGUGGAUAAGUUAUAGUAGCUCAGGAUCCCACUACUUGCCGUAAUGGAAAAGAAAUGGAGCACCUACCAAUGCAUCUUCACAGACCAUAAACUACGAGAUCACCCCCUUCAUUCUAGGUGACAGUUUGUUCUUGGUGUUUUUGGUUUAGUGAUUCUAAUGAUUACCAAAAUGUGGUCUUUGCCACAUAUGUUCAUUGUUAAAUGUCUUAAACUUUGUUUUGCUGGUCUUCCUUUGGGAUUGAAUUGUUCAUUGGGAUAUC